GCCGUGGGAGGUGUCUAUCCCGCCCUGGUAAGCAGUAGGUGUAGCUCUCGUGGAAUGAGCUGCUCACAGAUUACAGUGGACACGGGUAAUACACCGAGUUCCAUCCUCAUCAGCUAAGCAUUUGCUAACGUCAAAUUAAUUGUCCCUGUGGCCCCUUUGACCUGCCUUUCCAUCUCCCCCAAAACUCCUUGUUCCUAAGCAUGCUCCUCAGUCUUUACCCCAAAACAUUUGCAAAAGACGCUGUAUUAAUUUUUGAAAAGGCAAUACAUCAAAAAUAAUACUGUGUCCGUCCAUCCUCCCUCCCCCUCCCCCCGUUACAAAAGAACUGCCUUGCACGGAAGAACAUUUCAAAAAUACUAAAGGAUGAAAAAGGCUCAUAAUGUCUGCUAAUGAAGUACAUCCUUCCAGCAUUUCCCCUGUGCGUGGACACCCCCAUCCAGUUAGCAGGACUGAGGCUUUUAAAACGGGCGAGGCUCGCCACCCAUUUGAGUGAUGGCUCUGUGCCCUUGGGAGCCAGAAAGUCUCUAUUUUCUCUUUGCCACGUGGGCUGAUGGACCAUGGGCUGAAGCAUGCCUCCAGCCAGGGAGCUCAGAGACCUCACCUCGUUGGAGGGUGUUGGAGCAGCACUGGGUCUCUCCAAAUGGAUGAAGUUGUUGAGAAGGAUGCUAGAAACGUGGGCUGUCGCAUUGCCUCUCCACCUUAGUCACCCAAGACUCACUGUGUUAAAAAGCACACACUCCACGUCCCGGGCCCCGCCCCUUGACCACUUGGCUCUGAAUUGUUGGGGGUUGGCAUCUGGGUUUGUUUUCCAGAUGGCCCUCAGCUGGUGCUGUGAAGCAGCCAGAGCUCUAUCCGCUCUCUGCCCACAAGUUAGAGGCAGGAGGAGGCUGCUCCAGCUGUGCCCCCAGAGGCGGAUCAGGCGAUGUGACCAUUUGCAGUUGGCAGACUUUCACGUCCUGUCUUUUCUCGGCUGCUCAGAGUCGUCCUUUGAUCCUCAUUUUACAGAAGGAAAGACGGAGGCCAAGGAGAUCAGGAGACUUGCCCGAGGACACACAGCUAGGAUGUGGCAGAGGUGGGAUGGAGGUCUGCGGCUCCUGACUCCCAAGGCAGAGCCCUGUGACAUCACAGAAAAGCAGCCUUCGAGGACCUCGAAUGAGUCUGGGGCCUGUCCCUGACGACCUGGCCACUGCAGCGGGGCCUGGAGAGGAUCACCCCUCCCGCACCAAGUACCCCUGGUGUUCAGGUGGGGCCAGUCCCACCCGCUGGCUUGAGAGGCAGGCACGUGUCCCAGGAUGGACGGACGCUGAGACUUCCCCUUGGGACUUUUGCAGCAACUAUGAGGCAAGAGGCAUUCGGUUUUUGUGGGAGUUGCCAAGUGGACAGAAGUUGCCAAGCUUGGAACUGCUGGUGGCCAUCCUGUUCUCUGCUUGAGGAUAAAGCCAACAAGGAGUAAAGAGAAGGCGAGUGUAUUCUAUCCAGACAUCAGUAAGCCCUGGAUCAAGCCGCACCUGAAGCCAACUGCACCCCUGGACUAACCUGAUUAUAUGAGCCAAUUCUGUUUUCUCCGAACACUAUCUGGAGUUGGGUUUCUAGCAUAGAAAGGGUCCUAAGAACGGCAAUGGUUUUCUUUGCUCUCAUUUUUAGAAAGUCAACAUUGAGGCAUACUUUACAUGCGAUAGAUUUCAUCCAUGUUAAGUGUCCAAUUCAUAAGUAGUUACAGUUACAGCCUUGUAACUAUCACCAGCAUUCAAGUUCCCUCCUUCCCCCAACUCCAGAGAACCACCGACCCACCUAUCUUCUAAAGGUUCAUUUUGCCUUUUCUAGAAUUCCAUAUAAAUAUCACAUAGUGUGUUCUCUUUUGUGUCUGGCUUCU